AGAACGAACGCUGGCGGCAUGCCUAAUACAUGCAAGUCGAACGAACACUUCGGUGUUAGUGGCGCACGGGUGCGUAACGCGUGGGAAUCUGCCCUUGGGUUCGGAAUAACAGUUGGAAACGACUGCUAAUACCGGAUGAUAUCGAAAGAUCAAAGAUUUAUCGCCCAGGGAUGAGCCCGCGUAGGAUUAGCUAGUUGGUGAGGUAAAGGCUCACCAAGGCGACGAUCCUUAGCUGGUCUGAGAGGAUGAUCAGCCACACUGGGACUGAGACACGGCCCAGACUCCUACGGGAGGCAGCAGUAGGGAAUAUUGGACAAUGGGCGCAAAGCCUGAUCCAGCAAUGCCGCGUGAGUGAUGAAGGCCUUAGGGUUGUAAAGUCUCUUUUACCCGAGAUGA
rnacentral:rRNA from 1 species